AACGAACGCUGGCGGCAGGCUUAACACAUGCAAGUCGAGCGCCUCGCAAGAGGAGCGGCAGACGGGUGAGUAACGCGUGGGAAUCUACCGUGCCCUAAGGAAUAGCUCCGGGAAACUGGAAUUAAUACCUUAUACGCCCUUUGGGGGAAAGAUUUAUCGGGGUAUGAUGAGCCCGCGUUGGAUUAGCUAGUUGGUGGGGUAAAGGCCUACCAAGGCGACGAUCCAUAGCUGGUCUGAGAGGAUGGUCAGCCACAUUGGGACUGAGACACGGCCCAAACUCCUACGGGAGGCAGCAGUGGGGAAUAUUGUACAAUGGGCGCAAGCCUGAUCCAGCCAUGCCGCGUGAGUGAUGAAGGCCCUAGGGUUGUAAAGCUCUUUCACCGGUGAAGAUAAUGACGGUAACCGGAGAAGAAGCCCCGGCUAACUUCGUGCCAGCCGCCGCAGUAAAAC
rnacentral:rRNA from 1 species